rnacentral:rRNA from 1 species
AGCGAACGCUGGCGGCAGGCCUAACACAUGCAAGUCGAACGAACUCUUCGGAGUUAGUGGCGGACGGGUGAGUAACACGUGGGAACGUGCCUUUAGGUUCGGAAUAACUCAGGGAAACUUGUGCUAAUACCGAAUGUGCCCUUCGGGGGAAAGAUUUAUCGCCUUUAGAGCGGCCCGCGUCUGAUUAGCUAGUUGGUGAGGUAACGGCUCACCAAGGCGACGAUCAGUAGCUGGUCUGAGAGGAUGGCCAGCCACACUGGGACUGAGACACGGCCCAGACUCCUACGGGAGGCAGCAGUGGGGAAUCUUGCGCAAUGGGCGAAAGCCUGACGCAGCCAUGCCGCGUGAAUGAUGAAGGUCUUAGGAUUGUAAAAUUCUUUCACCGGGGACGAUAAUGACGGUACCCGGAGAAGAAGCCCCGGCUAACUUCGUGCCAGCAGCCGCCGUAAGAC